rnacentral:rRNA from 1 species
UACAGAGGGGCAAGCGUUAUUCGGAAUUAUUGGGCGUAAAGGGCGCGUAGGCGGCUUUGGCAAGUGGAAGGUGAAAUCCCUCGGCUUAACCGAGGAACUGCCCUCCAAACUGCUUAGCUUGAGACCGGGAGAGGUGAGUGGAAUUCCCAGUGAGCGGUGAAAUGCGUAGAUAUUGGGAGGAACACCAGUGGCGAAGGCGGCUCACUGGACCGGUACUGACGCUGAUGCGCGAAAGCGUGGGGAGCGAACAGG